rnacentral:rRNA from 1 species
AUUGAACGCUGGCGGCAGGCCUAACACAUGCAAGUCGAGCGGAAACGAGUUUAUACUGAACCUUUCGGGGAACGAUAACGGCGUUCGAGCGGCGGACGGGUGAGUAAGUGCCUAGGAAUUGCCCUGAUGUGGGGGAUAACCGAUUGGAAACGAUGGCUAAUACCGCAUAAUGCCUACGGGCCAAAGAGGGGGACCUUCGGGCCUCUCGCGUACAGGAUAUGCCUAGGUGGGACUUAGCUAGUUGGUGAGGUAAUUGGCUCGACCAAGGCGACGAUCCCUAGCUGGUCUGAGAGGAUGAUCAGCCACACUGGAACUGAGACACGGUCCAGACUCCUACGGGAGGCAGCAGUGGGGAAUAUUGCACAAUGGGCGCAAGCCUGAUGCAGCCAUGCCGCGUGUGUG